GGAGUAGAGAGAGGAAAUAAAUGAAAUGCGUGCGGCAAGAGGAGCGGUUUGUUUUCACCCCCAAGACCUGGGAAAACCCAUCAAAAGAGAUUGACUUCAGAAAACCGAGAAUGCCUGGGAAAUCUGAAUGCAAACAGCCCUGGAAUAAUCAGCACCACCAACAUCUGUCACCACAGCUGUUUCUUUUCUGGUUGGUGAGAGAACCCGUCUCUCUUCUGUGGGUUGGCAAUGAACUCCAAGUAAGGGGCCCAUCGUCUUUCUCUUCCAAACAGAAUCCUCCAGGUCUCUGUUUAUUUAGCCUGCUUAAAAGUAGAACACAAUACAAAACAAAACAAGCAUAAUAUUGCCACCUUUUAGGUGAAAAUAAGUAGCCUGGUAAAGUAGGUUAGGAAGAAUUAUUCUUGACCUGUGGUCACAGAUGAGGAAACUGAGGCAUGGGGACAGCCUUUGAUUUUCAAAUUGAUAUCCAGUAAAAAAUCAGAAUUAAUAAAUCCAAUCCUCAGCUCUUGGAAGGCACUCCGUUAAAAACAAAAAAAGCCCCCCAAAACAGGAGUAAGAGACCUGUAGACUUGGUCACCUUGCCCUCUGUCCAUUUCUAAAGCAAGGAGCUAAAACACUGCAUCAGGAUCCUUCAGCUUAAAAAGAAUUCACAUGAUGACCUCCUUCCCUUGAACACAGAAUGACUUGUGAGCCCUUUGGAGAACAGUGCCUCCAGUUACCACGUCCAAGGCUGACACAUUUCCUCACCACCGUGGCUUGCUCUCAGUGGGGCUGGCCCAGGGCAUGGCCAGUUUCCAGGUUGGCAUCCACCUCAUUCUAGUUGGCCGCUCCACUGUGUCAGUGUGUCAGAGCAUCAGCUGGAGUGGUUCCCAGAAUUCAUCCCGUGCUCACAGCAAAACCUUGAAGACUUAGGUCAGCCCUGAAGGCCAGCUGGGAUUGUGAAUGUUGAAGCCAGCGUCCCCAGUGUGAAGGUCCAGCAUUCCAUGAGGAUUCAUUGAGCACAUGUUGGGUAAAGCAUCUCGAGGUGCUUCAGUGUGUUGUGAAGAGGGGAAUUGGAAAGAGGAGGAGCAUGAAGGAUGCAAAGGAAAUAAAUGGGAUGGACCUGGACUUUUAGGAUUAUUCAGAGGGUUUAGAGAAAGGAUGGAUAAUAUCUGAAAUGAUACAACUCAAUAAAAAGACGCCCCAGUUACCAGUUACCAUGGCUGAGAGGCAUGCCUCAGGUUACAUACGUGGCUUUGGAAAAAUCAUAGAACCCCUCUGCUCUCAGGUUGCUCAUCUUUGUAAAGAAGGAAAAGUAAUAAAUCUGCAGCUUUACUGAAUUGAGGUGACGGAAGGUGAGGAGAGAGCACUGAGACCAAGCAAAUGGAGGCACUCAGGGAAUGAGAGGCUAAAGAUGAGAAG
rnacentral:lncRNA from 1 species